GAUGAAUGCUGGCGGCGUGCCUAAUACAUGCAAGUAGAACGCUGAAGGAGGAGCUUGCUCUUCUGGAUGAGUUGCGAACGGGUGAGUAACGCGUAGGUAACCUGCCUGGUAGCGGGGGAUAACUAUUGGAAACGAUAGCUAAUACCGCAUGACAACAGUUAUUGCAUGAUAACUGUUUAAAAGGGGCAACUGCUCCACUACCAGAUGGACCUGCGUUGUAUUAGCUAGUUGGUGAGGUAACGGCUCACCAAGGCGACGAUACAUAGCCGACCUGAGAGGGUGAUCGGCCACACUGGGACUGAGACACGGCCCAGACUCCUACGGGAGGCAGCAGUAGGGAAUCUUCGGCAAUGGACGGAAGUCUGACCGAGCAACGCCGCGUGAGUGAAGAAGGUUUUCGGAUCGUAAAGCUCUGUUGUAAGAGAAGAACGAGUGUGAGAGUGGAAAGUUCACACUGUGACGGUAUCUUACCAGAAAGGGACGGCUAACUACGUG
rnacentral:rRNA from 1 species